rnacentral:lncRNA from 1 species
AGAGAGAGAGAGAGAGAGAGAGAGAGAGAGAGAGAGAGUCAUUANNNNNNNNNNNNNNNNNNNNNNNNNNNNNNNNNNNNNNNNNNNNNNNNNNNNNNNNNNNNAGAGAGAGAGAGAGAGAGAGAGAGAGAGAGAGAGAGAGAGAGAUUUAUGUUGUGUGACAACACGAUAUGCUCGACUCCCUCGAGCCUUUUAUCAACCAUGCUCAAUUAAACAAGGUUUCUUUGACCUUACAAAAUUAUAGUGACUGUUUUUGUACAAAAAUAUAGUGUAGGGUGUGUGUAUGUAUGAUUUUCCAAAAAAAAAAAAAAAAUUCCGUGUUUUUUUUUCUAAUCACUUUCCCUAUAUUCACUCCAUUUUCCCGCUUAUUUCUCUCAAUAAAAUCCCGCCUCUCUCUCUCCUUUGCCCCAAACGCAGUCCCUCUCUCUCUCUCUCUCUCUCUAACAACCACUUUCUCUCUCUAGCCUUAUCCUCUCCGGCCGCCAUGAACCGUCGCAUCAGAAAGCAAUCCGCUGCCGAGAAGUCCGACAAUGGCUACCUACGUUACCUAAGGCCCGGCGCCCUCGCUCAGCUCCGUGACUCCAAAAUCAACGCUAGAUCUCUUCUACGAUCAUGCAACUCUCAGAUCUAUCUCCAUCGCUCUAUUCCAUCUUCACCUUCACGCUCUUCCGAAGCCGUCGGUUCCAUCCAGCAACAGCAACAGGAAGUUACCGGCACUUUCACCACCACCGAUGGUGAAUUGCCUUUUCACUCCGCAAGGUCAUAUGCGCCUCGUUGUCCACAGAGGAAGAGACUUACGGCUGCAAGAUCGGUGUUUUAUUUGAACCAUAACUCUACCAGUCUGACCUCCGAUGGCCCUGAACCUGCCAUUGACGUUUUUAGUGCCGAUUUCCUUGUUGCUCAUUAGCUUAGCUCAAUUAGUAGUUCCUAUCGGUUAAUAUUGUACUAGAAAAGAACAAUUUUUACAGCAGAUUAGUUGGCGUCGACCAUUCGCGAUCGGAUGACAAGCUCUCUUGUUCCUUCGGGGGUUAUGUGAAAAUUAUGUCAACUAGGGCUCAGAACACAAUAAAUAAAGUCAUUUAUUGUUCAAUUGAUUUCACUCUUGUUCCUAAAUCGCUUUUAUUUCGAGAUUGAUAUGCUAUUUAUACUCUAAUUAGGGUUCUUAAUCUUUUUAAUUACUGAUUGUAAAUGCAUAUAGUUGGGAUCUGAAGAGCCUAUUCCUUCAUUGAUUAUUUACUGGCUUUAUAAUCCGGUUUGAUAGUCUCAUAUGAUUCGUAUCAUAUUCUGUAUGUCUGAUUCUUCAUUACUCAUAAACAUGGUAUUCAACACCUCCUUGUUGCAAUUUUUGAACAAUGCCAUGGAUCUGUUCUUGCAAUAUAAUCUGAUUCUGCCAGAAGCCAUAAGAUACUUCAAUCAUACUGUAAGUUUAUCCAAAGAUGUUCAUUAGUAAAUGCUUCUAUUAUUGUUAUCUCUUAUAAGAGUUGAUAAUUCAUACAAAGUACUAAUGCCAACUGGGAGAAGGGACUUCAUUUACAUAGUAAGUGAUUUUAAUACUUAAGUCGUUAUGUCAAUUUUGUUAUACAAUAAUACAAGCUAAAUUGAGCUAUUAGAUUAAUGAAGUCACACAACUUUUGUUGUAGUUUUAAGUUACAUGCUAUUUGUGUUACAAAGAUCUUAUAAAAGAAAGAAUUAGCACAUUGUCCUAAAAAGGCGAAAAAGAGGUUGAAAUUAAUGGUUGUGUGUUUGUAGUAUACUUUAUAAAUUUUGAGCUUUGGCCUUUGAGUUUCAACUCAAUGAGCAACUAUCAAACAACUUUGUGAUGUUACUUUAUUGGUAAGAAUUAGUCAUAUUUUUACAUUUGUGUGUAUUUUGUAUGGUUUUCUAUAUUGUGCUUUUUAUAGAUUUAUUCAAACUAACACAUAGUCAGGGUAUUUGUAGAGAAAUGAAAAUGAGCUCAAUUGGCAUAUGGAAGUGGAAUAAGGUUUUUGUUUCUGCAUACUUUUCAGCUAUUUAUCAACUCAACAAUCCAAAAAGCUUAAGAUAUCUUUACUUUAGUAAAGUUUUGUUAAAAAGCUUAUUUAUGGGUCGCACAAUAAUUUCUAUUUCUUAGUAAUAAGAUAAAAGAAUAAAAUAUAGUUAGAAUUGUAAAAAGCUCUAUGUAGAGAGCUUGUAAAUUCGCAAAGUAAAAAAAAAUAUGUAAUGAAAAAGCUUUUAAAUUUAUUUGACUGAAAAAACUUUCAAGUAUGCUCCUAUUAGGGGUGAGCAUGGGUCGGUUUGGAUCGGUUUUGAUCUAAAACCGAUCCCAACCCAAUAAAAUCGGUUUUCAAAAAAUAAAAACCGAACCAAGAACCCAAAUCAUAGGUUCGGUUUCUCGGUUUUUAAUUUCUUCAUGGGUCGAUUCCAAGUUUAAACCAAACCCAAUAUUAACUCAAGUAAACUGAUAUGGGGCAAGAUAGAGGUACCGAUUCCUUAUAUUAAGGGUGAAACAUGCAUAACUUUUAUACAUCCGUUGAUGUGGGAUAGACCAAGUUCCAAAUUAAAAUAGAAAACUUGGGGAAACCCUUGACAUCAGGUUCAAGGGGAAGACGCUCAACGGCUGGGUCAAGAGGGUGUUUGCUUAUCUAAUUCGCGCCUUAGCUAUAUAUAUUUAUAUGAUUAUAUAUACAAAAAUAUGGCACUCAACCGUUGAGUCGGUUUCUCGGGUUGGAUGGGUCGGUUUCUAGGCAAAAACCGAAACCAAACCCGAUAUUUCGGUUUUUAAAAACUUGACACCCAAACCGUCGGUUUUGCUUCGGUUUCGGUUUCGACGAUUUUGGUCGGUUUUCCGGUUUCUUGGUUCGGGUUUGCUCACCCUAGCUCCUAUCGUGAUUGUGAAGGAUAAACAAGGUAGUAGAAUGGGAGAUUACAUUCCAUGGUUCCACCAUCAUGUUUAGUUGGUUUGUAGGAGUGAAAUUAAUUUUCAUAUGGAUUUUUUAUAUUAUAUGUAAAUAUAGUAUAUAAAGUUGACUUUAUUGUAUACGUUAUUGUAAUUAUACAUAACAAACUUUUAUUUAUAGAAUUAUAAAAAACAUAAACAAAUAAAUAAGCUUUAAUAAAAAUAAUAUAUUUUGUAGUUUGAAAAAUGAAAUUGUAAUAUAAGUAGGAGUAAAUUACGUAAUAUAAGUAGGAGUAAAUUACACGAAUCGUCAAUUGUACAAGUGUCAAAAUGCACAUUUGGUCCCUAUUUAAAAAAAACAACUUGAAUCGUCCAUCGUUUGUUUUAUAUUUGCACGCUUCAUCAUUGAAAGAUGUUUUUGUUGCGUUUUUGGUCUGUUCUAGAUUUAAAAUGACCAUAAUGCCCUUUUGUAUUUAUUUGAGUUAAUCUAAUAACAUUUAUUAUUAUUUUUAAAUUAGAAAGAAAAUGGGUCUCACUUCCACCACCCAUACCCUCUACUUUCACUUCACCCCACCCAAGUUUCUAUCCCAUUUUGUUCUAUGAAUCUUUGAACCUGAAAAACACCACACACCAUUGUCAACUCCUAAACUCCGACAAUUGCUACCUUCGACAACCAUCACCUCACCUAUGUCAUCUGCCUCCCGCGAACAUCAAGAAACCACAUCAUAACUUUGUGUUCCAUAUCUACCAUAGAUGAACUUGAUUUAGGUUCGAUCUAGGGUUUCUUAAAAAUCAAGUUCAAAAUUAGAGUUAUACGAAUGAUUUUAGAUCUGAAAACGAUUGUAGUGUUUGUGUUCUUGUUUCGGGUUUAAUUUAUGGGUUUGUGUAGAAAAAACAAUACACACAUAUACCGCCAUCUUGCUCAUGGAGUUCUAUGGUUUUUUUGCAGCUUGUUCUCCCUUGCCGAUAUGCACCUCGACAGGCAUCAUCGACUGCCAAAUCUAAAAUCGUAUCUCGAUCUACACCUUAGAGGCAACGUAGAUGGUGGAGAUGGGAUCAGCCACAAAAGCUUAAGGGGGUUAUCGACUUUGGUUUGGGUGUAGUUAUGGUAGUUGAUGCUCGAUAUUAAAGAACACAAAUAAAAUUAGGAAGAAUGGGGUUGGGUUGUAACACCAAUCAAAUUCAGGUCAAAAAUGAAAUGUUCAAAAAUCUCAACUAGGAUAUAUAAAGCAAUAGAUAUCGUGACAAGGUUUUCAGAAAUAUAAAAAACACUAAAAUCCGGGUUAUAACGAAGAAGUUAUGACCAACCAAAGAUCCGCAACAAAAUUGGUAAAACACUGUUAAGUAGAAAACGCGAAAUUCCAAUAAAAUGCUUUUUAACCUUAGGUAUCUAAAUGAAAGUCGUAGACAUCAUUAAACCGUAAACGUAUAUAAAAAGAACGUACAAAUCUAACUUCGUAUGAGGAAGUUAUGAUUUUUCUAAGUUUCAGAUAUAGCAGUAGACAACUAAAAACUCGAAACAGAGAUCGAGUGACUUUUAGCCGACACAACCUAAACGAGAAUCGAAGAUCUCGACAAUAGUAGUACAACGGUAAAAAGACAGACAAAAACGGACGUCGGAUGAAGAAGUUAUGGAUUUUUAACGGACUUUUCCAGUCCCAGCUUGUUAAAAAUAUAAUAUUAAAAAUAAAGUCAAAAUUAGCCAACAGAGUCUAAACGAAAGUUGUAAAUCAUAAUCUCACCUACGCAUGGAUAUAAAGAACAUCAAAAUCGGAGCUUGUAUGCAAGAUAUAUGAAGUUCUGAAGUUCGAGACACGAAUUCCCACCCUGUCAGAGGACUCACGACGUGAGCCUGAAGCUCACGACGUAAGCCAGGGAUGGAUAGGGUCCAACGUCGGGCUGUCAUAAGUCGAGUCAGCAGAUGGAUAUGAUCGACCUCACGACGUGAGCUCCAAAAUCACUCCGUAUAUAUAGAAAUCGAAGGUCUCGGGUUUAGGUUGCUCAACUCUACUUCCCUUUCUACUUUUACUACGUGUUAAGCAUCCCGAGACUACCCGACACCCCAGUUACAUGUUGAAGCCCUGGCGGAACCCCGAAGUCCCGAAGUUCCAAAGAUUUCCGAGAAAUCGACUUCUUUCCGGUCGAAGUGUUGCCCGAGCAAAGUAUCAUUUUCAUCAAAAAUCGUCACUUCUACCAAAUGAGAUCAUACCCCUAUCACUACACUUUCAAAUACUUUUAAAUGAUUUUAAACACUUUUAAGUGGGGAGGGGGGGAUACAAGUAAACACAUGGUUAAACUCGUGCGAGAAACAUCAAUCUUUUGUUAUACUUUUCAUAUUGUUGUUAUAACUAUCACAUGAAGUUGUAACAUGAUCCUGAAGCUCAUGACAUGAAGUUCUUAUACUUUUCAUACUGUUGUUAUAACUAUCACAUGAAGUUGAAAUUUUAAAAUUUUGGUGUAAUAUUUGAAAAUUAAAGUUUUUUUAAUUUUUAAAAAAAUUCCCGCCUAUGACCGCCAAGGCCGACUUUGAUCGAUUUUGACCAAUUUCCGCCAAGCACACUAAUCGUAAUCGGUUUAAGGCCGCCAAUCGAUUAAUCGCAGAUUAAUCGGCCACCAAGGCCGGUUUCUGCAACACUGUGUUUUAUAAAUAGAAAUAUAUUUUAUUUAUAUGUUUGCAUACUACAUCAUACCAAGGGUAACCAUUUCAACUAUAACAUUACGUUUAUACAAGAAAAAUACAACUCAUUAUUAUGCUUUUGUCAACACUGUAAAAAGGGUAAUCAUUUCAUAAAUCAUUCAUAUACAUUUCAAAAUACGUGACUUAAUUGAGAAUAUGUGAGUCAUUCGUCUUCAUCGUACCUAUCAAGGUAUACAAGAAAGCCAUGUUUUAUAACCAGAGUCUCCGUUCAGAGAACGUGAUAAGUGUGUAUAGAUCUAUAUAGGACUGAUGAUCCCGCACCUUGACUGUUAGCUACAGUCUGCAGGGUGACAAAUAUCAUAGUAUUUCGACGCCUGAAGAACGUCGCUGCAGGAAAAUUCAUCUUAGUACGGUUAUGAAAACUCACAGGAUAGACAAUUAUUAUGGUAUUAUGUUUUUACGGGAAAAAGUAAUAUUACAGUUGCUUUUACGUAUAAUUACAAGCUUCCUAUAGUUUUGAUUUAUAAUAAAACUACACAUCAUCAUUUAAAGCAUGACAUAUUUGCUUACAAGUUACAGUCUUGGACAUUUAAGACUGCUUUUCACUUUUAGGAAAAUAUAGGUUUUCCUUGUUCAAUAAAUUCAUUUCAUACAAACAACGAUUCAUAACUCAUUUGAUAAGAAAAUAUCGGAUUUUCUGGAAAACAAACGUGAACUUUCGAAUGGCAUACAUUUACACAAAUAUCUACUUAUGAACUCACCAACUUAAUUGUUGACACUUUUUCUUUGAGAUAACUUGUAUUCUCAGGAAAUCGCUAAACACCAGGUUAGCAACUACUUUUGGGGACUAAUGCUCUGUCGUUAGUAACAUCGUUUGGAGCAUCAUAUUGUAUUUGACUUUCGAAAUAUGUAAUACAACAAUCAUGUAAACUUUUCAAGUAUAUAUUAUGGUGGUGUGUAAUUUCUUUACUAUUCAAUUGUUAUGAUACUGUACAUGACGUCAUCCGUCCCUGAAUGUUUCCGCCAUUCAGGUUUGGGGGUGUGACAUGGGUUGAAGGGGUUUGGUGGUCCAAAAAAAAUCCUCCCUCUUUCUCCUCUAAACCUACUGGUCGGAGAAGAGGAGAUGUUGGCAUAGUUGACUUCUCCAAUGGCAUCUCGAAGAGAACGAAGAAACAAGAAGAAAGGUAAAGGGGCGAUGGCUAGGGAAGGAGGGUGGUUGUCGGCAUUGGAAAUGGAAGUUUCCGACAUUCAAUUUUACCAUAUUUUGGUGGUGAUGUCUAUGGUUAUCGAUGAGAGAAGGGAAAUGAUAAAUGGUGAGACACAUUAUUUUUCUAAAGAGGGUGGAGUGGGGCCACAAUUUAAUUAGUUUUUUUAAUAAUUAAAAAUAAUCAAAAAUCUUAAAAAUAAAUAGAAAAGAGCAAUAUAGUCAUUUUAUGUAAGCGGGCAACGUCCAAUGGCAUAAGGGAUGGUCCGAGUUAACUUUUAAAAAUAAAAACUAAAGUUAAGGUUUUAACUUUGUCCACAUUAGGUCCUUAAGGUUUUUUGUACAUAUUACACCAGCAUGGUUGUUAUAACCGUUUAAAAAAUGUAAUAUGGUUUUAGUUUUGUCCGCAUUAGGUCCCUAAGGUCUUUUUUAUACAUAUUACACCAACAUGAUUGUUAUAACCGUUUAAAGAGGUGGUAAUAAGGUUUUAAUUUUGUCCACAUUAGGUCCCUAUUUUUAGUAUUUUUAUUAUUUAAUCUAACUCUUUUACAAUUUAUAUUAGUAUCUAGUUAGAUGACUUCAUCAUUUAAUUUUCUCAUUUUAGUCGCCCAUUCACCGCACCUACGGUUUCAAUUGAAAGGUUACAUAACAACUACCAUUUCUACAACAAAAAAAUCUAAUUAUAAUCAAAGUCUUAAUGAUUAAGGCUAUGUUUGGUGUGCCACAGCUAGCUGAUAAUCUAGUUUAUUUUUUGACGUUUUUAAGUUGUCAUGUUUGGCAAGCCAAAAAGUAAUUUAUAAGCUAACAUUUUAAAAAGCUAUUUAUACUAGUUUUUUAAAAGUUUUUUAAUUUUUAUCCAAAUAUACCCCUUAAUUAAUUAAGAAAAUAUAUUUUUUAAAUGCUUUUUUAUCUCAUUAUAUAAAUUUUAGAUAACUUAUAAGCCCAUGGUGGAGCCAAUGUCAAAGUAAAAAAGUAUCCACAAAAAGUAAUGAGGUAUCCUCGCUAAGUAAUGACUCUGCCAUUGGGGUAUCCCUGAUACGCCAUUACUUAUUGAGAAUAUCCCAUUACUUGUCGGGAUACUCUUUUGCUUUAACACUGGUUCCGCCACAAGCUUAUAAGCUAUCUGAAAUUUAUAUAUUGACAUAAAAGAGCAUUAAAAAUAUGUUUUCUUAAUUAAUUAAGGGGUAUAUUUAGAAAAAAAUAUUAAAAAACUUUUAAAAAUAGGGACCUAAUGCGGACAAAAUUAAAAACUUAUAACCCCUCUUUAAACGGUUAUAACAACCAUGUUGGUGUAAUAUGUAUAAAAAACACCUUAGGUAAUAUGGACAAAAUUAAAACCUUGUUACAUUUUUUUAAAGACAAAAUUGCAAAAAUGGUGCCUAUGGUAUGCAUUUUUUUGGGGUUUUAGUCCAAACCUCAACUUUUUUGGAUUGAUGGUCCUUAUGAGUUGGUUUGCUUAUAGUUUUGGUCCCUCGAAAAACUAAAAAGACUAAAAUACCCUUGAGGUAUUUCUUUUUCAUUUUUUUUAUCUAUUUUUAUAAUUAAAAAAAUUAAGAAAACUCUCUCUCUCUCUCUCNAUAAAAAAAAAAAAAAAAAAAACUCUCUCUCUCUCUCUCUCUCUCUCUCUCUCUCUCUCUCUCUCUCUCGUUGAACCACCACCAAAGGUGGAAACCGGUCACCGGAAAAGUGCAACAGCCCUCCUCCACCUCUUUCUCUUGUCAACUAAUAACCCCAACACCCUCUUCUACAUGGAUACUUUCUCCGUCGCUCCGAAAGCUGCCAAAGAUGAAGAACGAGCCACGAAGGGCUCGUCGGAGACACCAACUGCCACCUCUACCCCGUCUCUUCCAUUCGUCAAGAAAGCACCUCCGACUCCCCACUAGAAUCGUUUUCCAUUACNNNNNNNNNNNUGUUUCCGGCAACGAGGACUCGACUCCUCCUCCUUCUUGUCGAACGGAACAGCCCAAACACUACCUGAGAAUCGCUGCUCCUUCUGCCAUUUCGUUUGUGAUUUUCGUCGAAUUAGAAAAACAGCCAAGGGAAGCCGCCGACUCUUUUCCUUCGCGAAUCGUUGCCGGAGGCCGACGUCCGCCCCUCCUCACGAUUUCAUCAGCCACUCCAAUGUCAUCGUUGCUACCGAUUUGUUUCUUCCUCCGAUCAGAUGAAGAUGCACUCCCUUUCGAUUGUUCGUGUGUGUUAAAGUGCAAACCUACAAAUUGAUUUCCAAAUACGAAACGAAAAAUAGUUCCUGCUCAAAAAUAUAAACCCAUGUGAAUCAUUUUCCAAAUUUUAUGUGUGUAUGUGUUGAAGAACUUGUGUAUUUUGAAGAACAAGAUAAACAAUUGUGUGUUCAGGAGAGAGAGAGAGAGAGAGAGAAUGGGGUGUGGGCCCCACUUUAUUAUCAAUAAAACAUUAAAUUAAAUAGAAAAAAAUAUAAAAAAUAUAUUAAGAGGGCAAUUUAGUCAUUUCAAAUUUCGGAGAGACCAUUUUUACAUACAAACUAGUCCAAAAGGACCAUGAAUCCAAAAAAGUCGUCGUUUGGACUAAAACCCUAAAAAAUGCAUACCACAGGGACCAUUUUUGCAAUUUUUCUUUUUUGAACGGUUAUAAUCAUCAUGUUGUUGUGAUAUGUAUAAAAAAAUCCCUUAAGGACCCAACGUGGACAAAAUUAAAAUUAUCAUCUUAAGUCAUUAAAAGUUAACAAGCAAUUUAACGAAAUUUAACGAAAGACAAAUUGUGUAAUUUUCUCUAUAAGUAUAAUAAUAACUAGAUGGGGAGCCCCGCGUUACAGGGGAUGGAUUUAGGCAACAUCGAUCAUUUUGUGUUUUCAUGUCCAUUUCAUUGCUCUUGUGUUCAACUAUAGUUCAUUGCCUUAAUUGGUAUUCAUCGUAAAGUAUGUUGCUGUUUUCUGCAAUUCGCCCAUUUAUGUAAGGACGUAACAAAAUAGAACAAAACUUUAUGAAUUAUGUAUGUGUCUGUGUAACACCCGGAGUUUAGAAGUGCAAGUUCAAGGUGCUUGGUGUAAUUAAGGAGGAUCGACUCAGCGAGUCCAUGGAUAGACUCGGCGAGUCGAGUCGCGAUUUUGGUCGCGUGUUAAGUGACCAACUCGGCGAGUCGGCAGCUGGACUCAACGAGUUGGUGCUGAAGGGAGAAAAACCCUAAUUUGGGGUUUGUGCCAUAUAUAAAGCACAUUAUAGCCACCCUCAACCUCUUUACCUUCCCUUUUAGUUCCAAAAAAACCCUAAUUUCGUGUGAGGCUUCAUUGUUGGAAAGAUUGGGGCUUAGAAGAGGAAAUUGUGAAAGGAGCUUGAGAAUUUGGAGUUAGCAUCAAGAGGCUUGUAAAGAUCUGGGAUCAACAUCAGAAUUGUGCACAUCUUUGAGGUAAGGAGCUCUUACCUUAAGCUAUUUCCCUUGUGGUUCAUCCUUGGUGGUUGUUUUGAGAGUUCCUCAAUUUGUUUUGAGACCUAUCUUGGAUUUGGAGUUGGAUCUGGGGUUGCUACUUCAGAUCUAGACUCAUGAUGGCCUAGAUUGUCAUAAAACUUCAGUCCUUGAGUUGUUAGUGAAUCCCUUUGUCCUAAAAGUCUAGCCCUAGAGCAUUUUGGGCUCAAAGCUCCUGGAGUUCACGUAAAGUUUGCCACUUUACGUGAGGAAUGGCUUGUAGAAGGGUAGAUCUAGGGAUUUGAGCCCUUACAUGGAUUGGAAAGCCUCUGUAUGGAAUGAGAACUAAAGAGACUCGGCGAGUUCCAUGGGUGAACUUGACGAGUUGGUUGAAGGUUGGCAUGGACUUGACGAGUUGGAAGAACAACUCGGCGAGUCUGUUGAAUAUUGUCUUGGACUCGGUGAGUCUAUUCUUGGACUCGGCGAGUCUGGCCGUGGAGUCCUAACCUUUUUCUGGCUGAACGGUGAAUCGGUGAGUCGAGGGAUGACUCGGUGAGUUGAGCGAGAAGGGACUCAGAAUUGGGGGACUCGACGAGUCGACGGGGCGACUCGGUGAGUAGGGUCACACAGGAAGGUUGACUUUGACUGAGGACUUUGACUUUGACCAAGAGUUGACCAGUGGACUUCCAAGGGUACUUUGGUAAUUAUUGGUAUUUAUUGAGUUCAGUCUUUUGGUAUUGAUCAGUGGUGGAGUUCGUGCCGAAGGUUGGAGCAGCAUGAUCUUAUCUCUUCAGUCAGCAGUUGCGAGGUGAGUUAUCCUCACUAUAUCAACAUGGUCUAAGGCACCAUGGUCGGCCCUUUAUCGGAUGGAAAUCCGGGUCGUUGUUAUGUUAUUACUUUGCUAUAUGUUUGCAUCCUGGUAGUUAGGAUGGUAUAUGUUCGAGACCUGGUUAAGGUCGGAAUCCUGGUAUAUAGGAUGAUGCUAUGUUAGUGACCGGUUAGGUCGGAAUGCUGGUAUAUAGGAUGAUGCUAUGUUAGUGACCGGUUAGGUCGGUAUCUUGGUUAAAGUGUGUUAUGUAUGUGAUAUACUAGAUCGGUUGAUUAGUGAUGAAUUGCUAUACGAUUAUAUGUUUAUGUGCGCAUGGUCGGUGACUGGGGUUGGGUUGAGGCGGAUCCUGCUUUGUGUUGUAGGCCAAAAUACACAGGGUGGACCGGAUAUCCCGAAGGCCCAGUGAGCAGUCCGGAUACGUUGUAGGCCCCACGAGGGCGGACCAGACGUGCCGAGGCUCGGAGAGUGGAUGAUGUGUGUAAAACCAACUAGUUUUAAUCCUACUAACUUAGACACAAAAUAACACACGAAAGGCAGUGUACCUAUCGAUUAGUAAUAUAGUUCAAGCAAGUAGGGUAUCGAACACAGGGAACGGUAAACAAUUAAAAUAAAUGCUAAUAUUAUCUAAAUAAAACAAAUAACAAAAAGGGGGUUUUCUCUAGUUUUACAAGACUAGAAACUUAAUUAGAAUAACUAGCAACUAAAACAAUUAAUUACCAACUAAAUUCAAUAGUAAAGAGGACUUCUGUUUAGGUACGACUCAUUUGUUCCCAUGGAUGAUUUUAAUGUAUCGGAUUAAUUCUUCAUUGGCUACCGAUUAAGAUAAUUAGGUUCACGUUCGCUAUUCCUAAUUCUUAGAAAACAAAUUAAUUCAAGCAAUGGCCAGUUGUCUAAAUUAACGGGUUUCCUAGAUUAUUGAUUCGGGUUAAGUAAGACUUGUAAUUAGCUAAGCAAAUUGGUGAUUCUAUUAACCUCUUGUUGAUGGUGUAUCACACAAGCUUACACAUUAACUUACCUAUCUUCUAGUUAAUUCUAGUUUCACGUUCGUUAUUCCUAGACAUACAACUAUGUGGUCACAAUAAAUCAUAUGAAAUUAAUAACUAAGAGAUGUUCAUACAACUUAAUUACUGAUUUAUUAACAGAAGAAUAGUUAUUGUCAACACAUAAGGUUCUUUAACAAGCUUAACAAAACAUAAUUACCAAUUAAAAUUAAUCCUACUCAAAUAAUCAAUCCAUGUUCACAAAAUUGUCUACCCUAACAGAAGAAUAAGUUUUUAGCUCAUGAUUGCAGUAAACAUAAACUCAAAAACGAAAUCAAAGUAUGUAAACAUGAUUCAAAUCAAAAAGUUACUAAGAAUAAACCAAAAUUGUCUUGAUUCUCUUCACAAUUGAAUGUAGGGUUGAUUCUUCAGUUCCUCACGACCUAGCAGCACUUCCAAUCGUUUCUCAGCCUCCUAGGGUUUCUCUCCAUGCUAGGGUAUCGAUCUGAAAGUCCCUUUAUAUAGAUUUUCACAAAACAGAGGCUACUCGGCGAGUCCAGUGACCUACUCGCCGAGUACAUCACUUAAAACCCGUGUACGGCAAGUCAGCGCGUCCAGAAUCGCGAAAGUUUGAUAUAACUCGCCAAGUAAUCGACCCUACUCGCCGAGUACGUUUCGAAUCAACAUUUUCUCAAAACAUGAAAGUCGUCCGAAAUUGUGUCUACUUUUCAGAACAUUUUGAAUCUCGUCAAUCGGAGUUACGGUUCAUGAGAUAUGGCCAAAACACUGACGAGGGGUCAAGUUGUCCAGCAACAUCCUUCUUUCUUCAAAGUGCAAGAUCCAAGCCUCCAAUCGCUAGUUCCGCUUCCUUUUCCAUCCGAGCAUGUAAUUGUUGCUGAAAAAUGAAAUUAUAAACUAAUUAAGUACCUUUUGUUCAUUAAAUGAGAUAAAAUCAACAUAAAUUAUUAAGAUAAUGCAUGAAUUUUAUAACUAAAUAUGUCCAUAUCAGUGGACCAGGCCGACUGAAGGCCCGGUGCGCGGGCCAAUCAUACUGUAAACUCAGAGAGUGGUCCAGGUGGGUUGAAGGCCCAGUGCGGGCGGACCAACCAUACUGUAGAAUCGAUGUAUAUGGCUAGACUCGGAGGGUGGACCAGGUGGACUGAAGGCCCGGUGCGAAGGACCAAUCACACAGCAGACCCGAAGUGCAUGGUUGUUCUGUUUAUGAUAUGAUAUGUUAUGUGUAUGGUAUAUGUGGUUGGUAUUUUGGGGGUAACUCACUAAGCUUUCAGGCUUACGAUUUUCAGUGUAUUGUUUCAGGUAUUUUAGGAGAUCGUGGCAAGACGAAGGCAUGAUCGUACCGCUCCUCAUGUUUUAUGUGUUUAUGAUGUGGUCUUGGGAAAUACUCUGAUAAUAAAUGAAUUGAAAACCUUUUUGUAAUAAAUUAACAAAUAUGAGUUGUUUUUGAAAAGUUUAAAUUAGUUGAAAAUUUUGAAUGUUACAGUCUGACAAUAUAUAAAUAGGUGAAAAAGAUUUUGAUAUCAAUUAUGAAUCCCAAAAGUGUUACGUUGGAGAAUAUAAAGACUGUAAUUUGGAGCGAAUAUAAAGAAUGUGAGAUAAUAGUUUUUAUUGACCACACAGCAAAAUCAAGUUAAAUCCACUUAUUCAUCUAAUAUUACAAACACACAAAGCAAGCAAAAUAGGUUAAAUGUCAUGUUUUUACAUCUUUUUAUAGGAGAUCAAAUAUUGUAUCCAAAAAGAGUAGAAUAAGAUGUAUACAACUGCCAAAAGAAAAAAGACAAAUAUACUCUCAUUAUCAUCAAAUUUUUGGCGAGUCUCAAUAGUCUUAACAACUCCACUUCUUAAUCCACAAAAAACAUUAUAGCUUUCUCUGUUCUGUUCUGAUCAAUUGCUCUAGAAGGAUGGAUUCAAAGCUGAAAAAAAUAAACAUUAAAUUGAAUUUAAUACAACAAUAUGCAAACAAAUUGAGUCAGAAUAACAUUGUUCUCUUACCAGCAAAUGUGCUAUGAAAAUUAUUGGAAUUUAUGUGCUCCAUUGUUGGAUCAUUUGGGUUGAGCAACAUGAAUAUAAGUUCUCUUUCAGAUGCAAGGGCCUGAACUUGACAGAAACAAAAAAGUAGUAAAUGACCAUUUUAACAUUUUGUUUGUUUAUAUUGAAGACUAAUAUCAUACCUGAUGCACUUCAAAAUAUAUUUUUUGUGUUAGGAUUCAAUAAAAAUUCAUCUAUCAUAUUCUCAAUUCAGAUCAUUGAGUACUUCCAAAUGAACCAAUUGGUAUUCAAAAGUACAUAAUAUAAUUUGUCCCAUUGUGAUUUGGAUUUUCUUACCAUGAAAUUUGGUAAUUCUCGUUUUGUUCGUCCUCUGCAUUCAAACAUCCUAAAUCUACUUCAAUAUUAAUUCAAGCAAUUGUCUUUGUUGUUGUAUAAACACGUUUACAAAGUUUUUAUUUGACACAAUUCGUAUGGGUUUCCUGUUAACAAUGUAUGAACCUGAAAUAGUAUUACAAACUUUAGAGUAAUAAAAAAAUAUAGUUAACAACAAUAUAUCAAUAAUAUCACUUAAAGAUAUUAAUAUCGACUUCUGAACAUAUAAUCCCGAAGUGUAAAUUACAUUUUUGGUCAAUUAGGCCUGAUUUUGGUCAGGUUCUGCAAUAUUGUUCCUUAUUUCAGUUCCCUUAAUGAUUUUCGUCCUCCUUCCAUGAAAAAUGACUAUAUUUACCUUUUUUUUAUUUUUAUUUUUUAUAGAAAUUUGUUAUUUAGUAUAACUUUGAAUUCACAAAAUUAGAUUAAAUCACAAAUAUUUAUUUAAGAGUAAAAAAAUACAACUAUAGUCAUUUAUUUGGUACAAAGGAUCAAAAUUGUUACGACACUUCAGAAAAAUGACCAAAACUACAACUGAAUUUUUGCAACAAAAGUUAUAAAAAUCAGGUAUACAAAAGGACCAAAUCAAGCACCAAAACGUUGUCGUCCUUCUUUUGUGCCCCAAAACUAAGUUUGAACUUUAAAACAAAUUUAAAUAUGUUUAGUUUCAAAAAAGCAUAUUAAUAAAUAUAUAACACAUGGUCUCAAAUUCUACAAACUGAAAUUUGUUGGUGUUUAAUUCAAUAAAAAAAAAUACGUGUGGUUAAUCUGAAAUGCAAUAGGCUUAACCUCAAAAACUAACCCCACAGUUUGCAAUAAGCACAAAAACAUAGAUUUUGAGAUUACUUGCACUCUAGUCAUUUUUACACUUAAAAGGACGAUUUACAAAUCUUAGGCACAUCAAAAACUUGCUUGAAUCACCACCAAUGUAAAUACUAAUUUAUCAUGUGUCAUAUGCUAAAAUUGAACGACUUGAUACAGAAAUGUAAUCAACAAUUAGUGAAAUAGAAUCAAUUGAUCCCAAACUUUUAGAGAAAAUAGACUCAAUUAAUCCCCAACUUUAAGAGCAAGUAACAUAUAGUUUCGUUACAAAUUUUGACAGAUAUGUGCCAAAAGGGUUUAGGCUUUAAAAACCAAAUAAAUAUAUAAAGAAAGUUGACCAUAUUGUACCUUUAUUAUCUUCUAGCAAAUUCAUUAGUUUCUUAGCCAACUGCUACAUGCAAAAUUGUAGAGCUACUAUAACUGUUGUGUCAUGACCAUGUCGGCAGACAGAUAUCUAGUCAACAAAAUGAAAGAAAAAACAAAAAUAAAUUCAUUGACAUUCUAUUAAUCAGAUAAUUGGAAAAAGAAAACCUAUCUUUCCUCAUUUACUCACCAAGAAUUAACAUUUUUUUUCAAAUUUACUUAUAAACUCCAUAGUAAACAUAAGGGUAAGAUGGUCAUUUAUUCCAAACAAACAUUAUUUAUCCACUCAACAAAAAAAAAACAUUUUCAAGAAAAUAGUUGCGUACUUGGAGGCGACUUGCUAAAUUUUCCCUAGUAAUUCCAUCCAAAUAUCAUCAAAUCAAGAAUCCGUUUAGACAAAGCUUCUGCAUUUAACAGAAGCAACAAACUUUAUAUGAAAGAUCAAUUGACCAAAAAACAUGAGGCUUCUUUCGGGGGAUAAAAUGUAAUUAGAAUUAUAAUCAUAAAUUUAUAAACAUGAUUUAUUACAAAUGCAUAGAACAGUUGGAAGAAAAGAAGCUCACAGAAAUCAACUCUUUGUGAGCACCCUGUAAUUAAUCAUUGGUUGAUCUUUAUUUGAUUAUCAAUGCUUGAUUAAGGCAUUAAGCGCUUCAAAAUCUUGAAGUUCCUCUUCUUUUUCUUUCAGAUCUUUUUCAGUGUACUCUAAUUUAUUCUUUGCUCCAACAUCCUCAGUGGACUCUAAUUUAUUCUUUCCAGGCUGCACAUGAGCUGAACUUAUCAGCUCUAGUUCAUAGCUUUGUCUAAUGGAUAAAUAAUUACAGAUUUUUAGAAGAUUAGAACCUGAAAUUUGUGAAUAUUCGAUGAAGACUUCACAUAUUAGUGGCUCCAAAAGAUUAGCAAGCAAUUUAUCUGCUUUGAAACGGAAAAGAAAAUAAUAAUUAUUUUAUUACUUAAUGAAUCAAUGUCAAAAAAAUACUACAAAAGGAUAUGUUAUAGAAUAUUAAAAUAUUGAUACCUUGAAAGGAUGUAGAACUAAAGAACCUGGGCUUGUACAGUAGAUUGAUGCACAUAGAUGUGAUACUAAUGGAUGAAUGUGAAAAUACCUACAAAUAUGAUUUCAUAGUAGAAGAUAUAACUAAAAAAAAAUAUAGAAAACAAAAAAUGGUACCUGGCUUGCUAGAUAACAGACCAUGUAAAUCAUCAAAUUUUCAUUAUCUUUUGGGAGUUCUUCUAACAAAUGAAUGGUUUAAAAAAUUGAUGUUAAUAUAUGUACAAUGAAAUACAUGUGUUCAGGGAUGGUCUAUUCGUUUUUCGUGCCCUGGGCGAAAGAGACUCGAUAAUGCCCCUAUAUAUAUAGACCAAACCCAUACGCAACAUAAAUCAUACGCAACAUAAAUUUAUAAACAAAAAUACUAAUAAAGUUUUUAUUUAGAGUCAAUUUUUAUUUAGACCUUUCAAAACAAAGUUACCGAAAAAAAUUAACAGAUUUGAAGUUGGAUGAUACAGAGUAAUUUAUAAACUUGACUCAAAAAGUAAAAAAAAAAAUGGCCCUAAAUCCUAAUCCUAUUAGCUUAAACAGAAUACAGUAAUCCCAUUAACAAACAACCAAAUUAAAAACCAAACAAAAUAGCCCAAAUACAUUUGUUUUUCAAUUCCAUAUCAAUAUUUAGACUAUUAGUCGAAGACUAAUUUCUAAAAGUAUUCCAAUCCUAUUAAACUAAAAACCAAGCGAAGUGGAAAAACAUUGAAGAACCAUUAUAAAAUAACAUUUUUAACGGCAAUGACUUGUACAAAUAGAUGAUCAAAAUGCACUUGAAAUUGCAUUUAUAUAGUUGAGAUAACACCUACUAGCAUAACAGCUCAGCAAGAUUACAAGCAACACCUAAAUCCACUUGAAAUUGCAAAUACCAUCUUCAGGGGCAAAAUUGUCCAACUUGGAUCAAAAGUACAUUCCAGUCGGCAGCUCUAGAUAAAGUCCUCAACCAAAUUCAUAUCAAGGGCAAAAUCGUCCGGUUUAAGCUAUAAUAAUAAAAUACAAAAAUCAUAACAUUUGAUCAACAUAUAAAACCAAAAUCAUAAAACUAGAAAAGUUGCCAAGAUUCCUCUUUUUAGAUUUGAGAUUCCACAAACUGGCAUAGACCAGCCACACACGACUACACUAUGCAUUCAAAAUUCUUGAAAGAAAAGAAUCAAAACAUAAAGAAUAAGAUUUAUGUUUCUGAUUUCGGGUUAUAAUUUCGGAUUUGAUAGUAAGGUAUUCAAGUAAUUUGAUUUAUAACCAAAGAAUAAAAACGUAAUAUUUUUUUUACCGUUAGCUUGCAAUACUGGGGCAAUCGAUUUCUGAUUUUAGGCGUGAUUAUUUCGCAUGAUCGACUCCACGUUUUCUGAUUUUUUAGCGUGAUUGGCAGCUGCAUUUUGCUGCUUCUGUGCUUCACUGUGUCGGAUGCCUCAUGUCUAUGGAGCAAAAUUUGUGCCGAAAGUUUAUAUGCCCAUAAGAGGUAGACAAAUCGUUAUGCCCCUCUUCGUAAUGAUGCCCUGGGCAGUGGCCCAGCUCGCCCUGCCCUGUGUUGCUGACUUCAUCAUGUAAUUUACCACAGAUAAAAGUAAUGUAUGAAACAUACAGGAAAAAGAGUAAAUUGGUUGAACAGUGGCAUCCCAAGUUACAACAAAACAUGUAUAAACUGCGAAAUUACUUUAACCACUGUAUAGUUGGUUUUGAGAACUGACCUAAGUCCUUGUUCGCUUUCUCGUCUUGAUGUUGUUGUUCUUCUCCCAUAUUUUCUCUUCGUUCGUAGCUGUGUUGUGUUUCUAAAGAUCGAAUCUCACCUGUUGUUAUCUCUGAUGAAACCUGUAAGAAGAAAGGUGUAAUGAAAUAGCAAAAUCCUGUAAUUUGUGUCUCAGCUUAUUGUCAUUACCUUUCCCCAAAUCUAUUCCUGUGAUUUGAAGUUAUUUUGCAUCAAUCCUCUGUAGGGCGACGAAAUCGUACCCCAAAACGAAGGAAUAGAUAAAAAUAAAGAGAAACAACAGAAGUGGGUAACUGGACAGUCGGGAUCAGAAUUGCAGAAAGGAAUUGCAGAAGAAAAGAAUUAAAGGAGAGAGAGAGAGAGAGAGAGAGAGAGAGAGAGAGAGAGAGAGAGAGAGAGANGGUAACCGGACGGUUGCGUGAAGCAGAAGAACCAUCGACCUGGUGAAGAUGAUGGAAGGCGUUGUCGAUCCAUUCAUCGCUGAUCUGUGGACAUCUUCUCCCACUUACCGAUAUUGAGUGGAAUCGGUGGAGGCGUCUUCUUCUCCCACUUACGCUAAUCGGUGGAGGAGACGUAAAUGGAGACAGUGGGUGGGGGAGCAGAUGGUACAAUAGACGGUGUUGAGAUGAGGCGGUGGAGAAAGGUUCAGAAACAGAAAUCUAAACAUUGGGCGACAAAACGGUGAAGGAAA